CCAUCACUGAGGACAACCAAUAGCGACGUUGGAAGGCGGGGCCAAAAUAACCGUUGGCGAAGACCCCCUAGCUCGUGCUGGGCCCGCCAGCCUUAACACUGUGGGUGACACAAUGGAUUUACCUGGCGGCUUCGCGGACGGUUCCUCCCGGUGACGAGGGCAGAUGGCGUCGCCCUUUCCUACGAUCUCAACAGAUGGCCUGUGAUGGAAAAGUCCAGUACUGACCAGCCUAGGGGCCUGUGAUGAGAAGAGAGUGAAACCAGAACCAAGGGUGCAGAACCACCAGACAAUAGCAGGCGGCAUCGAGGUGGACUGGACUGGACUGGACUGGACUGGACUGUCGAAAGCAACUUUGGGAAUGCAGGAAUCGUGGGAGUGCUGCUCAGGUGUCUCUUUUCCUAGAAUGAGAGAGAACGUCGAUCAGAAGGGCCAGCAAGUUGCCUCUGGAGUGACUCAAGCAUCCUCUUAGAAAUCACCCCUCUUUAAUCCUGCUGUGAAGCUAGAGGCAUCCCAGGAGCCCAGGCUUUGCUUAACCUCAGCCACCUUCUGUUCGGAUGGACUGGGAUGGCUCAGCAGCCAGCACCUGGAAGGACUUUCUAGGGCGUGUGCACUAUGCAGGCCAGAGGGUGCCUGUCCACAGGCAGUGCCAGAGGUCUCCACUCUAUGCUUUUCCAGGUCAACCACUUGUGUUCUGUGUGGGGAGUAAUUCACUGACAUUCAGGUGAAGGCAUUUGAGAAACUGAGAGGUGGGGAAGUGUGCUGACGAAAAAUGCACUAUUGUAAAAUGUUUUCAAAGAGCACUAAGCUGCCUUGUCACUUAGCAUUACAAGGCAUAUACCCAAAGAGUUUUUCCUCUUCCUGGGUUAGGAAUCGUAAUGUACCGUAAUUUCUUGGUGUGAAAUAUUAUACCUCAAACUCCCAUUUUCCUGAACCGUUUGUCGCUGCCCCUUAUUUAUACGGGUAAUAGAAAAAGGAUGGAUACUGUGGCAAGGUUUUGGAAAUGGAGUAUGGGCCUUGUUACACCGAUUCCCCCUCACAUGCAGACAGUAGUGUGAUUGGCACAGCAACAGUCACUUUGAGAGGCGUGUCAGUCACCGGGACAGACUGAUGACUCGGUGGUUAUGAUGGUGGUCAUGAUGCAAGUCGGAAAAGAGCUGCCCCUCCCACAGACAGAGAGCUUCACAGAGCCAAGGUCCGUGCUCACUUCUUUUCUGUGACUUCUUACCUAGUCCCCCCAAGCCCUGAAAACUUAAGUACUACUGCUGUCUACGUUUUGCAGAACUGUUGAUGCUAGAGAGAUGGGUCAUUACCUUGUCAAAGCAAUAGCCGAAAAUUCGGGACCCGGGCAACUCAAAUGGGAGUUCAGCUGGCGCUUUCCCGGUGGCGUUACUCCCUAAGCUGUGAGCACCUUCUUAGGGAAUGUUUUCAUGUCUGACGUGGUUACCCAGAUCUCUGUGUCUUCGUUUCUUUCCCAUAUGCUUAUGUACACGAUACAGAUUUGUAUGCGAAGUGGUGGACAUACCUGGUACGGAAACAGGCCUAGACGUAAAUGGCUUUCAAGACUCAUUUGCCAGGCACUUUGAUUUUAGGCUGCUUUAAAGAAAAGUAUAGAGUUUAGAGUGUCAGAAAGGGACAGGGACUUCCCUGAUGAGAAAAGAUAGGAUGACGGCCUUGAGAUGGCCAUCCCGUCAGGGGCCUAACACCCAGAGGAGGGGAGAGGCCUAUGAAGAAUGGCUCUCUGUUGGAUGCUCUCAGAGAAUGAGCAUGGGAUAGAAAAGACAGCCCUGAAAGGCAAGGGGGUCAUUGCCUGGCUCAGGUGUCUCCUGCUCACUGCCACAGCUCGUGUCAGCCCUGACUGAAUAGGGAAAUUCUACUUGGCCAUACCUGUCUCCUGCUCAUUGCCACAUCCCUGAUACUAGCCGGGUUAGACAUAACUGGGGGAGAGAAGACCACGGCUCACGUCUUUGAGUGUGAUUUGAGACCACAGGGCCCUCAGGCAAAGAUGAGGGUGUUGAUGGGCAGUUGCAUUGCCUCGGAGGCUCUCAGCCUACCCUCAAGGAAAAGUUGUGGUUCUAGGCGUCAACUGCACAUGGUUUAGGACUAUGGGAAAAGCAGCUGUGGGAAAAGCAGCUGUGGGAGAUGCAGCUGUACAGGGCUUUUUGAGGGGGGAGCAGUACAGUGGAUUCCCCAUGACUCUCCACCGUCAGAAAUGCAGCGGACGCAUGGUGGACCCCAGGAGAUUUGGGGGCACACUGAGGGCAUCAGGAAACAGGAAGGGCAGGAAAGGGGACCGCUGUCAGUGUUGUGAUGGGCAUUGCGGGUUCAGGCUGUGUGUACUGUUCCCAGUCCCCACUCUCCCCGGCUACCUGUUGGCUGGCACAGCUGGGCGGAGUGUUAGCAAGGCCCGUGGAUUUAUAUAACAUGAGAAACAGGCCUUUUGGGAACUUCAGACCUUUAUGGGGUGGGCAGAUCCUCAUUUUCUGUCUGUCCGUGCAGGAUGGGCUUUCUCUGCAGGCGACGCUUUGCUGCAUCUUCCUGCUUCCGUGUACUGUUUUGUAUUGCUUGUCAUGCUGUAUGUUGCUCAAAGGCAAAUAAUGUGAGGGAUUUGAGGAAAGCCGGGCUUGCUUCUGUUGACAGUGUGCGUCAUGAGCCAAAGCAUUUUUCAGAUUUUUGAUAUUCAUGUCCCUUUUCCGGCUCGCGUGGCCCUGGCUUUGAUGGAAAUUUCUCUUUCCGGUGCUCAUCAGGUUCAGGCUGAGAUUAUGGUUGUGGCUGUUCAGUCGGGAGACAAACCCUUCCUGUCACUAGCGGUUUCAUCUACGCUGCUUGUGAACCACAGGACCUCAGAGAUCCUUGGUGGAGAUGGGGACUGAGACCCCCCGUUAUGGACCUUUAGUGUGUCCAUCUUUCCAACAGAGGGUGAAAAGACUGUGCAGGUUGUGUGCACGCGCGUGCAAUGGAACAGCCUUCUGUAGAUGGGCCUGCAUUUGAACUUGGCUUCUCAUUCCACUAGACUGUGUGCGAACACAGCUUCAAAUGAGGGCUUCAAAUGUCUGCUUCAAAUGAGGGCCUCCCAGUUCACAUUUAGGUGGGGCUGCCGGGCUUCCCUGGCCUCCUGUUCUCGCAGAACUACUCUACCGCUUCUUCGCCAGUUGGCAAAAGAGCAUGGGUAGGCACGUUUUCAUUGAACCCUACGUGGAUGCACUGCUCUCGGUCACCCUCAGUCAGAUCAAGUAGCCGUGCAGAAUGGCGCAAGGCCUUGAUGGACUGCUGUCUGCUGUGAGUGUGGAGAGUACAGGCUGUUCAGUUGGGGUGCUGACCCUCAAGGUGGGCAAUAUGCCUCCUACCAGGAGCCAGCCACUUGGCUCUUCCUCCUGUGUCCUGAACUGAUGUCUCAGACCAUGGGGUUAGAGUGAGCUUAGAACCUCCAGUGAUUGUGGGUGUGUGGUCCUCUCACAUGCUCUUUUAUUAAGGGGGCACUGGUGGGAUUCCUUCUGCUGGGGGGAUGGGUAAUGCCAUUUACAGCUUCACUACCUGUGCUUUCUGAUUCUUCUCUUGGUAUGCAAUACUUUGUGUUCAAGAUGUUUAAGGCUAACCCAUAAUCCAAAUGUUUCUGAAUCUCAAAGUAUUGCAGCUGUUCUACAGGGGCCAUGAACUUCACCUGGAAGAUGGCACUUGAGGAGCGGCCCCAGGGCUUAGCUAUAUGUUGACAGAAGGGAUUGGCCUCUGGGGUCUGUGGUUUGGGCAUUUGUUUGGAUGUGGGGGUGCUUUCUUGGUCCACAGGAUGGGUUCUUGUGACAUUUUAGACAAACAAGGUCUUUGAAAUGGAAUAUGUACCUUUUCAUAUCUUUGUUGUAGGUACCUGUGUGUACCACGUCCCCAUCCUUUUAUCCGCUGGUUGUUACCUGGGUUGUUUCCACAGCCUGGCUAUUGAAAAGAACGAUAGUGCUGUUUUUCAUAUUUUGAGAAGGCCCCGGCUCUUUCCCUUAGUGGCCUUACCAGUGUACAGAGGAGAACACAUCGUGAACUGAAAAAUGGAUUCAUGACUGGUUCUCUCCCCACUUUUGAUUGUCGGUUCUUUUCAGGAGAAGCACUGUAGAUGGGAGAGUCUCCAAAGGGAGAGGGCUUUGAUAUGGCCAUCCCUUCCGGGGCUAACACUCAGAGGUGGGGAGAGGCCUAGGAAGAAUGGCUCUCUGCCGUAUGGUCUCGGAGCAGGAGCGUCGGAUAGGCUAAGCCGGCCCUGAAGGUGACGGGGGAAAUUCUCUGUGCCAGGUGUCUCCUGCUCACUGCACACUCCUGUCAGCCCCGACGGAAAUGGGAAUUUCUGUUUCCUAGGAGUGACUCCUGCUCAUUGCCACAUCCCUGGAACACCUGGGGUUGACAUCAAUGAGGGACGGAAGACCACGGCUCACAUCUUUGCGUAUGACGUGAGAACGUGGCGCCCUCUUCAAAGUGGAGAGUCCUGAUGGGUGAUGUUCCUUGCUUUACAGCAGCUUUGGGAGUUCUGGCUAUGGUGUUGGGAGUCUUUGUUCUUUUUGCCUCCUGCUGUGUACUGCCUUCCCCCAUGAGCCAUGUAGUGUUUUCUCCGAGGGGAUUCUUCACGAGUCUCCUCGAAGGCAUCUGCUCUGUUUCUGGGUGGUAUAACCGCCCACCCUUGCAUAGUGGUAGCGGGCUGUGUCGCACAGAGUCACAGAGGAAUGUGAGCUGAGUUUGCUGAAAACUCUUUCCACAUACUGCAUCUGUGCAGUAUGUGCACAGACACUCCUUCUUGAACACUCCCAAGUCACAAGUGUCUGAUGACAAAUUCCUAGAGGAAGCACACGCUGAACUUGGCAGCCUCUAGGGUUUGAGGACCUUGGGGUUCUGGGGAGAAAAUUGGCCCAGGCCUGUUGCCGGGCGUGUGUGCUCUGGCACAAAUGUCCCAGCAGUGUGACGUGCUGUUCACAGAGCGGAGGCAUGUGGCAAUCAUCAGAAAUCCAGAAGUCUGGCAGGGAAUACAGUUGGAGCAUUUGCCGAUUUGUUGUCAGCACGCACCUGCUGCCCUUCCUCUGCACCUUGGUGGGUAGAGAAACGUGUGGGCCUUGUUUGGGACAUUGCUAGUCACUGGCCCUGCUUGCAUCUUCAGGAGCAUGUGCAGAUGGGCCUGAUUCUCAGGAACUUCCCUGGUCAAGCCACCAGGCAGCAGGAUGAGCCUCCCAGUCCUCUUGCUGGAGAGGACUAGGCUCUCCUCACAGGCUCUAGCUUUCCCUUCUCCCUUUUGUCAGCCAGAAGUUAUGGAUGCUUUGUCCCAACCAAUCCCCAAAUCACAGCACCCUAGGGCAAGUGCAUUCUUCUCAAGAAUGGACAAAGCCUUGGGGCCCCUAAGUGGCUGUAGUUGCUGGAAGUCCUUGACCACAAGGUGUGGAUGCUUGGUGUUCCAGCUCUUCUGUGAUUCUUUCUUGGCAUUGGGCAGUUGCAUUGCCUCAGUGGCUCUCAGCCUACCCUCAAGGAAAAGUCGUUGUGCUAGGCGCCAACUGCACAUGGCUAGGACUAUGGGAAAUGCAGCUGUGGGAGACCCAGCAGAGGGAGAUGCAGCAGUAGAGGGUUGUUUGAGGGGGGAGCGGUGCCGUAGAUCCCCAUUACUACCACUAGUCACAAAUGCAGUGGACUCAUUGUGGACCCCCCAAGAUAGGGGGGGCACUCUGAGGGCAUCAGGAAACAGGAAGGGCAGGAAAGGGGACCGCUGUCAGUGUUGCGAUGGGCAUUGUGGGUUCAGGCUGUGUGUACUGUUCCCAGUCCCCACUCUCCCCGGCUACCUGUUGGCCGGCACAGCUGGGCGCAGAGUUAGCAAGGCCCAUGGAUGUAUAAGACAUGAGAAACAGGCCCUUUGCGAACUUCAGAACUUCAUGGGGUGGGAAGAUCCUCAUUUUCUGCCUGUCCAUGCAGGAUGGGCUUUCUCUGCAGGCGACACUUUGCUGCAUCUUCCUGCUUCCGUGUAGUGUUCUGUAUUGCUUGUCAUGCUGUAUGUUGCUCAAAGGCAAAUAAUGUGAGGGAUUUGAGGAAAGCCGGGCUUGCUUCUGUUGACAGAGUGCGUCAUGAGCCAAAGCAUUUUUCAGAUUUUUGAUAUUCAUGUCCCUUUACCGGCUCCUGCGGCGCUGGCUUUGAUAUAACUUUCUCUUUCUAGUGCUCAGCAGCUUCUAGCUGAGUUUGUGGUUAUGGCUCUUGAGUUGGGAACCAUCCCCGUAUUCAAGACCUUUUGCGGCUUGUGUGGCCCUGGCUUUGAUGGAACUUUCUCUUUCCAGUGCUCAUCAGAUUCAGGCUGCGUUUCUGCUUAUGCUAUUGAGUUGGGAGACGAUCCCUGUAUUCAUGUAGCUCCUCCGGCUCGAGGGGGCCUAGCUUUGAUGGAACUUACUCUUUUUCCGGUGCUCAUCAGAUUGAGGCUGAAAUUAUGGUUGUGGCUGUUGAGUUGGGAGACAAACCCUCCCAGGCACCAGAGGUUUCAUCUCUGCUGCUUGUGAACCACAGGACCUCAGAGAUCCUUGGUGGAGGUGAGGACUGAGACCCGCCAUUAUGGACCUUUAGUGUGUCCAUCUUUCCAACAGAGGGUGAAAAGCCUGUGCUGGCUGUGUGUACGCGCGUGCAAUGGAACAGCCUUCUGUAGAUGGGCCUGGAUUUGAAUUUGGCUUCUCAUUCCACUAGACUGUGUGCGAACACAGCAUGGAGAUGACUGUCUGCUUCAAAUGAGGGCCUCCCAGUUCACAUUUAGGUGGGGCUGCCGGGCUUCCCUGGCCUCCUGUUCUCGCAGAACUACUCUACCGCUUCUUCGCCAGUUGGCAAAAGAGCAUGGGUAGGCACGUUUUCAUUGAACCCUACGUGGAUGCACUGCUCUCGGUCGCCCUCAGUCAGAUCAAGUAGCCGUGCAGAAUGGCGCAAGGCCUUGAUGGACUGCUGUCUGCUGUGAGUGUGGAGAGUACAGGCUGUUCAGUUGGGGUGCUGACCCUCAAGGUGCGCAAUAUGCCUCCUACCAGGAGCCAGCCACUUGGCUCUUCCUCCUGUGUC